UAGGGAAUCUUCCGCAAUGGGCGAAAGCUUGACGGAGCAACGCCGCGUGAGUGAUGAAGGUCUUCGGAUCGUAAAACUCUGUUAUUAGGGAAGAACAAAUGUGUAAGUAACUAUGCACGUCUUGACGGUACCUAAUCAGAAAGCCACGGCUAACUACGUGCCAGCAGCCGCGGUAAUACGUAGGUGGCAAGCGUUAUCCGGAAUUAUUGGGCGUAAAGCGCGCGUAGGCGGUUUUUUAAGUCUGAUGUGAAAGCCCACGGCUCAACCGUGGAGGGUCAUUGGAAACUGGAAAACUUGAGUGCAGAAGAGGAAAGUGGAAUUCCAUGUGUAGCGGUGAAAUGCGCAGAGAUAUGGAGGAAAACCAGUGGCGAAGGCGACUUUCUGGUCUGUAACUGACGCUGAUGUGCGAAAGCGUGGGGAUCAAACAGG
rnacentral:rRNA from 2 species